rnacentral:rRNA from 1 species
UGGGGAAUUGUUCACAAUGGGCGCAAGCCUGAUGACGCAACGCCGCGUGGGGGAUGAAGGUCUUCGGAUUGUAAACCCCUGUCGAAUGGGACGAAAGGCUCGCGAGUUAAUACUUCGCGGGAGUGACGGUACCGUUAAAGGAAGCCACGGCUAACUCUGUGCCAGCAGCCGCGGUAAUACAGAGGUGGCAAGCGUUGUUCGGAAUUACUGGGCGUAAAGGGCGCGUAGGCGGCCUACUAAGUCAGACGUGAAAUCCCCCGGCUUAACCUGGGAACUGCGUCUGAUACUGGAAGGCUUGAGUAUGGGAGAGGGAUGUAGAAUUCCAGGUGUAGCGGUGAAAUGCGUAGAUAUCUGGAGGAAUACCGGUGGCGAAGGCGGCAUCCUGGACCAUUACUGACGCUGAGGCGCGAAAGCUAGGGGAGCAAACGGGAUUAGAUACCCCUGUAGUCCCUGAGCGGGCUGGCAAGGCGCAU